CUACGGGUGGCUCCAGUGAGGAAUUUUGCGCAAUGGGGGAAACCCUGACGCAGCAACGCCGCGUGAGUGAUGAAGGCCUUCGGAUCGUAAAACUCUGUCAAGUGGGAAGAACCUAUGUAAGGUUAAUACCCUUAUGUACUGACGGUACCACUGAAGGAAGCACCGGCUAGCUCCGUGCCAGCAGCCGCGGUAAUACGGAGGGUGCAAGCGUUAUUCGGAAUUAUUGGGCGUAAAGGGCGCGCAGGCGGUUUUGUAAGUCAGAUGGGAAAGCCCGGGGCUUAACCUCGGAAGUGCAUUUGAUGCUGCAAGACUUGAGUAUGGGAGGGGGAAGUGGAAUUCCUGGUGUAGAGGUGAAAUUCGUAGAUAUCAGGAGGAACACCAGUGGCGAAGGCGACUUCCUGGACCAAUACUGACGCUGAGGCGCGAAGGCGUGGGGAGCAAACAGGAUUAGAUACCCGCGUAGUC
rnacentral:rRNA from 1 species